UACGAAGGGGGCUAGCGUUGCUCGGAAUUACUGGGCGUAAAGGGCGCGUAGGCGGCACUGUUAGUCAGGCGUGAAAUUCCUGGGCUCAACCUGGGGACUGCGCUUGAUACGGCAGAGCUUGAGGAUGGAAGAGGGUCGCGGAAUUCCCAGUGUAGAGGUGAAAUUCGUAGAUAUUGGGAAGAACACCGGUGGCGAAGGCGGCGACCUGGUCCAUUACUGACGCUGAGGGGCGAAAGCGUGGGGAGCGAACGGG
rnacentral:rRNA from 1 species